rnacentral:misc_RNA from 1 species
AAGUCGUAACAAGGUUUCCGUAGGUGAACCUGCGGAAGGAUCAUUACCACGUUCCAAACGUAUCAACCAAUGCGAAUUGUUUUCAAUCACUCCCAACAUGGAGAAUGAGCUGGAACUAGUAGACGAGCGUGCGGAGGCUUCACGGCCAGCGUUUGCUAGAACACUUCUGCGCAAGCAGAGACAGCUGUAUUUUCAUGGGUGGCUAUUUCUCUGCAACUUUGAUCACCGUCACCGAUCGCGAGUUGCAGGGAGCACACAUUAACCAUAUUCACCCCUUUUGCUAGUUGACUUUUAUAUGUUGUUUCUUGCCUCGGCAUGGAGCACACGUUUAAUUAUUUGAACGUUAAAAAUACAACUCUUAGCAAUGGAUAUCUAGGUUCUC